rnacentral:rRNA from 1 species
CGGAUAACGAGGGACCAGGAGGGGGGUGAAUACGUGGGGUGGAAGGGUGAUCCGGAAUGAUUGGGCGUAAAGGGCGCGUAGGCGGUUUUUAAUUCGGCGGGGAAAGCCCACGGCUCAACCGUGGAGGGUCAUUGGAAACUGGAAAACUUGAGUGCAGAAGAGGAAAGGGGAAUUCCAUGUGUAGCGGUGAAAUGCGCAGAGAUAUGGAGGAACACCAGUGGCGAAGGCGACUUUCUGGUCUGCAACUGACGCUGAUGUGCGAAAGCGUGGGGAUCAAACAGGAUUAGAUACCCUGUAGUC